rnacentral:misc_RNA from 1 species
GCCAAGCCUGCCAGCCUCGAAUUUUUUUUCCCGCGGCGAGAUAGUAUCUCGAAUUUUUUUUUUUGCGAAUGGCCCUUAUAGUUAUAGUGUCAAAAUACAUGAACCGCGGAUUUUCUUCACAUAGGUAUGGGUGAUCAAAAAACAUGAAUUAUUCAUUAGGCCUAUUGCUGAACUCCAAUGACCCAGCAUACACACGUGCACACACACGUGAAGAUAUGACGUAGAGUGCAUACGGUACACAGCAGUACAUACAUGUACAUGGUGCCGGCCGGUGCAGGAGCUCGAUGGAGUAGGACUGGACCACGCAUUGGACGCAAACACUUAAGAUGUCACAGUACAGAGUGCUAUAUUUCAACAUUAAAGGCCCAGCUGAUCCGACUGCUGCUGCAUGACCAGGGUAUUGCAUUCACCGAUGAUGUCAUUGACAAGAAAGACUGGCCAGCUAUGAAACCCACUCUGAAUUUGGCAUUUGGUCAGAUGCCAGCUUUUUGGGAUGGUGAUUUCCAACUAGUUCAGACAGGUGCCAUACUGCGCUACCUGAGUCGCAAACAUGGUACAUAUGGAUCCAAUGACACUGAGGCAUCUUUGAUUGACAUGGCUUAUGACGGAAUUGAGGAUUUCUACCAACGUUAUAUUCGUAUGGUGUAUGAUAACUUUGCAAAUAGAAAAGAAAAAUUCCUUGCUGAGAUGGUUCCUAAUGUGAUUCUUCCAACUUUACAGAAACUGCUGAUGACAAAUAAGAACGGUGAAGGUUUUCUUGUUGGAGACAAGAUAUCCUUUGCAGAUUACCAUCUAUUUCAGUUCCUGGAUGCCUUGAUGGGGCUUUCUGCCUCAGCUUGUCUGGAGGCAUUUCCAGUCAUGAAGGCCUACUAUGAACGCAUAAAGGCCCGACCAGGCAUCAACAAGUUCCUUGCCAGUGACCUGAACCAGAAGCGGACUUUCAACAACGCCGGCCAUUAGUACAGUGGCAACUGGGUUAAGCAGAUACUAUUUGCCAACCUACACUGUAUGCAUUGGUCCCUGCAGAGUGCCAUAUUAACUUGUGUGGGAGUGGUGGUGUUGAGGAUGAAGCUACAUGUACGUUAAACAUGAUGGAAACUGAGACCUCAAGAGCUACCUGACAAGGAAAUUUACCGAGUGCCCACCAUUUCUGUCAAUUUACUACAUUGUAUUACGAAUUGCCAAGACCCCAGGGUUUUUGGUCUGGCACUCUCAAACUUUUAAUUCACAUGGCAUGCAUUUUCACAGCAUGUGUUGAAGUAUUUUGCCUUAUUCUGUAUGCUUUUCAUUGUUGACGUUUGUAUCACCAUAUCAAGUUUUUCUUGAACUGGAGUUUGUUCAAAAUGUUCGGUUCGCUUAAAUGCGUGCAUUCUGUACAGUUUGGUUUAUAACACGCGGUUUUCAGGCUGUGGGUUAAGUUCAUUUUAAGGAAUGAAUUCCACCCAAAUUUUAAUAUCGUUAUUUUUGUAUAGUUUGAGUCUUGUUUGGUUUUGUUCAUAAUUUUUGUUAUUUUUGUUUUGCUUUGAGCAGUUUGCAAUUUUUUUAUUCCAUUUAAAANAACUUCAUCUGUUCAAUUCAUUUAAUUCAAAGUUCAUUCCUGGUGUUGGUAUUUUGAAGCCUUUUUAGAAUUAAAAUAUGUUUAAAAUUUCUUAA